AUUCACUUGUGGCACUAUUCGAUCCGUACUGAAUUUGCAUCUGAACCGUACCUUUAGUGCAAGGGCACGCUCCGUCGUAAGGAGGCGUGUAAACCUGUGUUGUUGCUCCUGCAGCUUCGACAUCUGCUCGACAGGAAGGUACUGCAGUGUGUUCCUGA
rnacentral:lncRNA from 1 species